GAUGAACGCUAGCUACAGGCUUAACACAUGCAAGUCGAGGGGAAACGAUAUUGGAAGCUUGCUUCUGAUAGGCGUCGACCGGCGCACGGGUGAGUAACGCGUAUCCAACCUGCCCAUCACUUGGGGAUAACCUUGUGAAAGUAAGACUAAUACCCAAUGACGUCUCUAGAAGACAUCUGAAAGAGAUUAAAGAUUUAUCGGUGAUGGAUGGGGAUGCGUCUGAUUAGCUUGUUGGCGGGGUAACGGCCCACCAAGGCGACGAUCAGUAGGGGUUCUGAGAGGAAGGUCCCCCCACAUUGGAACUGAGACACGGUCCAAACUCCUACGGGAGGCAGCAGUGAGGAAUAUUGGUCAAUGGACGAGAGUCUGAACCAGCCAAGUAGCGUGCAGGAAGACGGCCCCGUAUGGGUUGUAAACUGCUUUUAUAAGGGAAUAAAGUGAGUCUCGUGAGACUUUUUGCAUGUACCUUAUGAAUAAGGACCGGCUAAUUCCGUGCCAGCAGCCG
rnacentral:rRNA from 1 species